GCGUACUUGGUGUACCGGAUAGCAUUGCAGGUUCCCAACUUGCAGAACCAGGUUCGAUUCCCGGAGUACGCA